AUAAAGUUUUAUUUUGGCUUAUUAAUUUGUUGUUAAUUUAAUUUAUAUGUAAAUUUUUUUGUGAGUAUUUUAUUAUUUUAAUAAUAAUAAAAUUUAUUAUAAUUCGCAAUAAUUAGUUUUAUUAAUUAAAGAAAUUUAGAAAAAGUAAUAUUAAAAAGUAUUGAUUAAAUUUGUGCCAGCAUUCGCGGUUAUACAAAUAAUACAAAUAAAUUUUAUUAGUUAAAGUUAAAUUAAUUUUUUAUAAAAAAAAUUAAAUUUAUUAAGUGAAAUUUUUAAAUUUAUAGUUAAUUUAUUAAAAAUAAUUAAAGCUUAAAAAUUUUUAAAAUAAACUAGGAUUAGAUACCCUAUUAUUAAAAAUGUAAAUAAUAAAAUUAAAGUAGUAGUAGUUAUGUUCUUGAAACUUAAAAAAUUUGGCGGUAUUUUAGUCUAUUCAGAGGAACCUGUUUUAUAAUUGAUAAUCCACGAUGGACCUUACUUAUUUUUGUUAGCAGUUUAUAUACCGUCGUUAUUAGAAUAUUUUAUAAGAAUAUUAAUAUUCUAAAUUUUUUUAAAAAAGUAUAUCAGAUCAAGGUGUAGCUUAUAUUUAAGUAAAAAUGGGUUACAAUAAAUUUAUUUAUAUGAAUAUAAAUUUGAAAUGUUUAUUAAAAGUGGAUUUGAUAGUAAAAUUAUAAAGAUUAAUAAUUUGAUUUUAGCUCUAAAAUAUGUACAUAUCGCCCGUCACUCUUAUUAUUAAGGUAAGAUAAGUCGUAACAUAGUAAAUGUACUGGAAAGUGUAUUUAGAAUGC
rnacentral:ncRNA from 1 species